rnacentral:rRNA from 1 species
UUGCUCCUACGGGGCGCAGCAGUGGGGAAUAUUGGGCAAUGGGCGCAAGCCUGACCCAGCAACGCCGCGUGAAGGAAGAAGGCCCUCGGGUUGUAAACUUCUUUUAUCAGGGACGAAACAAAUGACGGUACCUGAUGAAUAAGCCACGGCUAACUACGUGCCAGCAGCCGCGGUAAUACGUAGGUGGCAAGCGUUAUCCGGAUUUACUGGGUGUAAAGGGCGUGUAGGCGGGAGAGCAAGUCAGACGUGAAAUUCCAGGGCUCAACCCUGGAACUGCGUUUGAAACUGUUCUUCUUGAGUGAUGG